GCUCAGCCGCAGGGGAGCCAGAGGCGCCGGGCGGCCGGAGGUCCCAGCCCCGCAGAGCCCCGCGCCGGCUGGCGGGUCUCGCCCCAAACAUCCAGCAGGAGGAAGCCGAGGGCGGCAGUGUACUGAAGGGGGGCCCUGUCUUGCCCCAAGAACAUGCUGAAGAGCAAAGAGCUCACUAAAGAAGUUCAGCAAUUUGUUUUUAAAGUAUGAUUUUGGAAGAAAUUCCAGCAAAAUCAGCAAACAUCUCAAGACACAGCGGGUCUCCAUUCCCCUCUCCAGGGACAUCACCACCAAAUCCCAGGGCUAAUAAGGAGAGAGGUUGCCAGCCGCCACAGAGAUGCCGAGGAUUUCAACUCCGAGUUCGGCUGAGACUGAAACCCUUAUAUGGCAAACUCCGGGAAAGUGCUAUUAUGUUGUAUGCUGGAUACUGUCAUUUGAGCACUAUGAAUUACUUUUUGAAGCAUGGCCCAUUCAUCAGUUUUGUAAUGCACAUUGUUAGUUCAAAGACCCUGCUUUCAAGUCAUUUUUGCUCCCAGCGCCCCCGCUGAAACAUCUGACCGCCAUCUCUAGAUAUUUCACUAACUCUUUGCUCAUCGUGUUGAAGGGAAAAUAUUUGCCAUGUAUUUUAAUUCCUCCCUCUUAUAAUGUAUGAGACUCACC